rnacentral:rRNA from 1 species
AUUGAACGCUGGCGGCAGGCCUAACACAUGCAAGUCGAGCGGAUGAAGGGAGCUUGCUCCUGGUUUCAGCGGCGGACGGGUGAGUAAUGCCUAGGAAUCUGCCUGGUAUUGGGGUAGAACGUCUGCAAACGGGCGCUAAUACCGCAUACUACCAGAGGGUGCUACAUGGGGAUCUUCGGACCUCACGCUAUCAGAUGAGCCUAGGUCGGAUUAGCUAGUUGGUGGGGUAAAGGCCUACCUAGCCGACGAUCCGUAACUGGUCUGCGAGGAUGAUUAGUCGCAAGGGAAGUGAGACAGGCUCCAGGGUCCUACGGGAGGCAGCAGUGGGGAAUGGUGGGCAGUGGGGGGAAGCCUGGUACAGCCAGGCCGAGUGUGUGAAGAAGGUCUUCGGAUUGUAAAGAACUUUAAGUGGUGAGGAAGGGCAGUAAGUUAAGACCUUGCUGUUUUGACGUUAACAACAGAAGAAGCACCGGCUAACUACGUG